rnacentral:tRNA from 6 species
UGGGGGAUAGUGAAAUGGUAUCACAGAUGACUCUGAAUCAUCUAUUCUAGGUUCGAGUCCUAGUCCCCCAG